AUAUCAGUAAGCGGAGGAAAAGGAACUAACAAGGAUUCCCGUAGUAACGGCGAGUGAAGUGGGAAUAGCUCAAAUUUAAAAUCUGGCCUUUGGCCCGAAUUGUAGUCUAAAGAGGUACUAUCUUGAUUAUAGUGUGUGCACAAGUGUCCUGGAAUGGGCCAUCACAGAGGGUGAGAAUCCCGUCUUUGACACGGACUACCAGUGCUAUGUGAUGUGCUCUUCAAAGAGUCGAGUUGUUUGGAAAUGCAGCUCAAAAUGGGUGGUAAACUCCAUCUAAAGCUAAAUAUUGGCGAGAGACCGAUAGCGCACAAGUA
rnacentral:rRNA from 1 species